CUAAGCACUGCCCAGAGCGGGAGAAAUAGUCUUCCUUAAGGCCCAUUUGGGUUGGAGAGGUUACUCCAACAUGUGUUCCUGAAGGAAGGAGCCUCAGGCUGUAACACCUACAGGUGAUGCAGAUCAAUGACACACACAAUUUCACACAUACUUGUAUAUUUGGAGAAGAGAUUGAAGGAAAAGGCAUCCAGCGACCGGCCUAAUUUGGGGACCAUUCCAUGGAUGGGCUCCAAGCCCUGGCACUAUUGCUGAUGCCAUGUUGUGCUUGCAUACAGGAACUUCACAUGGUUGUCAUCUGAGAGGCUCUAUCAGCAGACGCAUGAGACAGAUGCAAAUACUUACAGCCAAUCACUAGACUGAAAUCAGAGACUAUUAUGGAAAAGUUGGGGGAAGUAUUGAAGGAACUAAAGAGGAUGUCAACCCCAUAAGAAGACCAACAGAAUCAACUAACCAGACUCUUGGGAGCUCUAAGAGACUAAGCCACCAAGCAAAUAGCAUCCAUGGGUUGGUCCAUGGCUCUGGCAUAUAUAUAGUAGAGGACUGCCCAGUCUGACCUUAGUGGGAGAACAAGUGCCUAAUCCUGUAGAGAUUUGAUGCCCUAGGGAAGGAGGGUGCAGAGGGUGAGGUAGGGAUGAAGUGGGUGGAUGGGUGAGGGAGCACCCUCUCAGAG